rnacentral:rRNA from 1 species
UACGGAGGAUGCAAGCGUUAUCCGGAUUUAUUGGGUUUAAAGGGUGCGCAGGUUGUUUGAUAAGUCAGUGGUGAAAGUCUGUCGCUUAACGGUAGGAUUGCCAUUGAUACUGUCAGACUUGAAUAUGGAUGAGGUAGGCGGAAUGUGUAGUGUAGCGGUGAAAUGCAUAGAUAUUACACAGAACACCGAUUGCGAAGGCAGCUUACUAAUCCAUCAUUGACGCUGAGGCACGAAAGCGUGGGGAUCAAA